GAUGAACGCUGGCGGCGUGCCUAAUACAUGCAAGUCGAGCGAAGCGGGGACGGGUGAGUAACACGUGGAUAACAUCCUAUAUGACUGGGAUAACUUCGGGAAACCGGAGCCAAACUGGAUACUUAUACAUGAAUCGGCGCUGCAUUAGCUAGUUGGUAAGGGAACGGCUUACCAAGGCAACGAUGCAUAUCCGACCUGAGAGGGUGAUCGGCCACACUGGAACUGAGACACGGUCCAGACUCCUACGGGAGGCAGCAGUAGGGAAUCUUCCGCAAUGGGCGAAAGCCUGACGGAGCAACGCCGCGUGAGUGAUGAAGGUCUUCGGAUCGUAAAGCUCUGUUAUUAGGGAAGCGGUACCUAAUCAGAAAGCCCCGGCUAACUACGUGCCAGCCGCCGCGGUAAUAC
rnacentral:rRNA from 1 species